AUUGAACGCUGGCGGCAUGCCUUACACAUGCAAGUCGAACGGCAGCGCGGACUUCGGUCUGGCGGCGAGUGGCGAACGGGUGAGUGAUGUAUCGGAACGUACCAUUGAGUGGGGGAUAACGUAGCGAAAGUUACGCUAAUACCGCAUAUUCUCUCCGGAGGAAAGCAGGGGACCGCAAGGCCUUGCGCUCUUUGAGCGGCCGAUAUCAGAUUAGCUAGUUGGUGGGGUAAAAGCUCACCAAGGCGACGAUCUGUAGCGGGUCUGAGAGGAUGAUCCGCCACACUGGAACUGAGACACGGUCCAGACUCCUACGGGAGGCAGCAGUGGGGAAUUUUGGACAAUGGGGGCAGCCCUGAUCCAGCCAUGCCGCGUGAGUGAAGAAGGCCUUCGGGUUGUAAAGCUCUUUCGGCCGGGAAAAAAUCGCAUGGAUUAAUACUCUGUGUGGAUGAUGGUACCGGAAUAAGAAGCACCGGCUAACUACGUGCCAGCAGCCGCGGUAAAAC
rnacentral:rRNA from 1 species